rnacentral:rRNA from 1 species
AGUUUGAUCCUGGCUCAGAGUGAACGCUGGCGGCAGGCCUAAUACAUGCAAGUCGAACGGCAGCACAGCAGAGCUUGCUCUGUGGGUGGCGAGUGGCGGACGGGUGAGGAAUACAUGAGAAUCUGCCCAGUCGUGGGGGAUAACGUAGGGAAACUUACGCUAAUACCGCAUGCGCCCUUCGGGGGAAAGCCGGGGACCUUCGGGCCUGGCGCGAUUGGAUGAGCCCAUGUCGGAUUAGCUAGUUGGCGGGGUAAUGGCCCACCAAGGCGACGAUCCGUAGCUGGUCUGAGAGGAUGAUCAGCCACACUGGAACUGAGACACGGUCCAGACUCCUACGGGAGGCAGCAGUAGGGAAUAUUGGACAAUGGGCGCAAGCCUGAUCCAGCCAUGCCGCGUGAGUGAAGAAGGCCCUCGGGUUGUAAAGCUCUUUUGUCCGGAAAGAAAAGCGCCGGGUUAAUACCCUGGUGUCCUGACGGUACCGGAAGAAUAAGCACCGGCUAACUUCGUG